rnacentral:misc_RNA from 1 species
GUUUGCACGUUUGCUUGCAGGUGAGCCAGCACUAGCACCACCAAUAUCUUAUUUUUAUAAUACACGAUGCGAAAAUGCUCUUUCUUCCUUUAGAAAGGAAAGAUAAACUUUCUUUAGAGCCAUAUCUUGGUGGAAUAGUGAAAAAUAGUCAGUGCUUUAAUUUUCAAGAGACUUGAUAAUAAACUGUGCGAGUAUAGUUGGUUGUAAAAUUUACUUUCCCCAGUUGAUUCUAUCCUGCAUGAGUUUUAGGCCCUCGAAGUAAUU